GAGUUUGAUCAUGGCUCAGAUUGAACGCUGGCGGCAGGCCUAACACAUGCAAGUCGAGCGGAAACGAGUUAACUGAACCUUCGGGGGACGUUAACGGCGUCGAGCGGCGGACGGGUGAGUAAUGCCUAGGAAAUUGCCCUGAUGUGGGGGAUAACCAUUGGAAACGAUGGCUAAUACCGCAUGAUGCCUACGGGCCAAAGAGGGGGACCUUCGGGCCUCUCGCGUCAGGAUAUGCCUAGGUGGGAUUAGCUAGUUGGUGAGGUAAGGGCUCACCAAGGCGACGAUCCCUAGCUGGUCUGAGAGGAUGAUCAGCCACACUGGAACUGAGACACGGUCCAGACUCCUACGGGAGGCAGCAGUGGGGAAUAUUGCACAAUGGGCGCAAGCCUGAUGCAGCCAUGCCGCGUGUGUGAAGAAGGCCUUCGGGUUGUAAAGCACUUUCAGUCGUGAGGAAGGUAGUGUAGUUAAUAGCUGCAUUAUUUGACGUUAGCGACAGAAGAAGCACCGGCUAACUCCGUGCCAGCAGCCGCGGUAAUACGGAGGGUGCGAGCGUUAAUCGGAAUUACUGGGCGUAAAGCGCAUGCAGGUGGUUUGUUAAGUCAGAUGUGAAAGCCCGGGGCUCAACCUCGGAAUAGCAUUUGAAACUGGCAGACUAGAGUACUGUAGAGGGGGGUAGAAUUUCAGGUGUAGCGGUGAAAUGCGUAGAGAUCUGAAGGAAUACCGGUGGCGAAGGCGGCCCCCUGGACAGAUACUGACACUCAGAUGCGAAAGCGUGGGGAGCAAACAGGAUUAGAUACCCUGGUAGUCCACGCCGUAAACGAUGUCUACUUGGAGGUUGUGGCCUUGAGCCGUGGCUUUCGGAGCUAACGCGUUAAGUAGACCGCCUGGGGAGUACGGUCGCAAGAUUAAAACUCAAAUGAAUUGACGGGGGCCCGCACAAGCGGUGGAGCAUGUGGUUUAAUUCGAUGCAACGCGAAGAACCUUACCUACUCUUGACAUCCAGAGAACUUUCCAGAGAUGGAUUGGUGCCUUCGGGAACUCUGAGACAGGUGCUGCAUGGCUGUCGUCAGCUCGUGUUGUGAAAUGUUGGGUUAAGUCCCGCAACGAGCGCAACCCUUAUCCUUGUUUGCCAGCGAGUAAUGUCGGGAACUCCAGGGAGACUGCCGGUGAUAAACCGGAGGAAGGUGGGGACGACGUCAAGUCAUCAUGGCCCUUACGAGUAGGGCUACACACGUGCUACAAUGGCGCAUACAGAGGGCGGCCAACUUGCGAAAGUGAGCGAAUCCCAAAAAGUGCGUCGUAGUCCGGAUUGGAGUCUGCAACUCGACUCCAUGAAGUCGGAAUCGCUAGUAAUCGUGGAUCAGAAUGCCACGGUGAAUACGUUCCCGGGCCUUGUACACACCGCCCGUCACACCAUGGGAGUGGGCUGCAAAAGAAGUAGGUAGUUU
rnacentral:rRNA from 1 species